rnacentral:pre_miRNA from 1 species
ACAACAUUCGGACCGUCGGUCUACCGAGCAAUAUCACCGGCUCGGUGGAAGAUCUUCCCUUUGUAGU